CGGGGACCGACUGGGAGUUGCGGCCGUAGGAGCCUUACUACAACAAACGAGAGAACAACCGAAGGUAGGGGGAAAAACACUUAGAGAGAGAGAGAGAGACAGAGAGAGAGACAGAGAGAGAGAGAGAGAGAGAGACAGAGAGUAUGUGUGUGUGUGUGAAAGAGAGAGAGCAAGAAGUAUCGAGGAAACAGAGAUAGAGAGAUAGAGAUUGAUAAAGAAAAAGAGGAAGAGGAGCAGAGAGAGAGAGAGGAGUCUGUUGAACAGAUUUCAGAUACGAAAGAGAAAGCGAAUCGAAGAUAGAGAAACUGAUGUAGAAAGAUAUAAAGAGCCAAUGUAAGAAGAAGAAAAGAUAGAGUAGGAUAUACGUGUAUAUGAAAAAGACCAGAAGCUGUAUUUAUACUAAUUAUAUUUGAGUAGAGAUGAGGAAGGAAAAAGCGAGAGACACAACGAAAAAGGCAGUGACAUAGAGAGGCAGGAAGUCACAGAGUAGCAGUAGUAGGAGGAGGAAGACACAUCGCUCUUACUCUUUCUCUUUCUCUCUCUUUAGAUAUAUAUAUAUAUAUAUGUGUGUGCGUGCGUGUGUGUGUAAAAUAUGUAUAAAGAAAAGGGAGAACGACAGCAAGAGAGGAGCAAAAUUGAAGGUGAGAGUUGUAGCAGGAGUAGUAAAAAAAAGGUGCGUGCGGAUCGGUUGGUAGGUCGGCUGGUCGUUCGGUCGGGUGGUUGGUGGGCUGGUUGGUCGGUAGGUCGGUCGGUCGGUCGGUUGGUCGGUCAGUCUUUAUUUUCACCACUAUAGACAGACAGACAGACAGACACUCAAAACACGCAUUUACAUACAUGCAGACCAGAGAGUUAACAGGAGUAGUGGGAAGAGGAGGAGAAAAAUAUGAAGCGAGGAGAAGGCGGAGUAACAAAACGAGUCGUGGUGAGAGAGAGAGAGAGAGAUAAUAUGGAAAAGAUGGAGAGAGAUAGAGAGAUGAGGACACACACACAUAUAUAUGUAUAUUUAUAUACAUAUAUAUGUAUAUAUAUGUAUAUAUAUGCACACACGCACAAAGAUUUAAUAAUGAAGAUAAAGCGACUGUUGGAAAAUCAUUCGUGUCAGUUAGUUUAGGAGAAGUAAAAAGGAAACGAAUAACGAGAGAGAAAGAGAGAGAGAGAGAGAGAGCAAGAAAUAUGUGUUGAUUGCGUAUAUAUACAUACACAUAGAUAGAUAGAUAGAUAGAUAGAUAGAUAGAUAGAUAGAUAGAUAGUUUAUGAAUAUACAUGCGAGGAGUAAUUAGAAAUCUAUAUACAUCCGCACAGAUUCAUAAUUAUAAAAUUAUAAAUUGAUUAUAUACUACAGAUUUAGCGUAUGUGUGUGUGUGUGUGUCUGUGCCUUAAUGAAAUCACAGCCUCUUCUCACACUGCCUCAUUUCACACACACACAUUGUACCUUUGGAAUCAUCAAAGUGGUAGAGAGAGUUGAAAUGAGAGAGAAAAACAUCGAGAGAAGAACGUAGAGAGAGAGAGAGAGGGGGGAGAGAAAGAGAGAAACGCAAAGCGAAAGAAACGAAAAUAGAAUGGGUUACAUACACACACGCACAUAGAAGCAAGAUAUAUAUAUAUAUAUAUAUAUAUAUAUUGCUUCAAUGUGCGUGUAUAUAUAUAUAUAUAUAUAUAUAUAUAUAUAUAUAGAGAGAGAGAGAGAGAGAGAGAGAGAGAGAGAGACAGAUAGAGAUAGAAAUUCACAGAGAGAGAGAGAGAGCAUCUUACGUGCAAGAGUCAACUAUUUUAGAAAUUGUUAACAAACAUGAAUUGGAAGAAAAUAUUAGAAUUAGAAUAACAGUAAUUUCUUUCAACUAGAAACGAUUCAAUUCUUUUUAAAGGAGAAGCAAGGAGUGGGAUACAUUCCAUUGAAUCUACCCUGGUACAUGACUGGUAUACCUUCUUCAUUUUUAUUUCUAUUUUUUUUUUUGUGUAUAUAUUUUAUUGGAGGGCUGGGUAAAUAGAAUGAUUUGGUUUAGCGCAAAUCUUCCUUUCUAAUUUUUUCUUUCUUUUUUUAGGUCGCAAAAUGUUAAAGACAAAUGAAUCGACCUUCAUUAUUGCAGACAGUUAUCUAUUAAUUGAAUGCAGACCAAAAAUUGGAAUGAAAAAAAAAGUAAGAAAGCUGAUUCCCAGUGUAACUCGAACUUAAACAAGAAAUUCAGAACCGUAUGAUGUAAAUAUGAUUUAAAAAAAAAAAAAAAGAAAAAUGAAAAAUAUGUAUUGAUGAAAAAAAAAAAGAAAAGAAAAAAGAAAAAAAAGAAGCGUUCAUUUUGCUUCUUUUUCGAAGAAUGAUAUAUCAAUGGAUUUCUUACAUUGGCACAGUACCAGGGAUUUGUAUAAACGAUGGUACUAGCGAUCUGCAAUUCUUUAUACCUGGACCGCUAACCACAACAAGGAUUUCUUAUAGAAAAGCACAAGGCCAAAUGUUUGUAGGAGGUUGCAGUCGAUCAUAUCGGCUGCUGCCUUAUUACAAUCGACCCUGGAGGGAUUUAAAAAACUGCACAAUCAAGCCCCGGCUAGGAGAGAACGACUGUGUCACUACAUAUCACAAA
rnacentral:lncRNA from 1 species